AUUCCAGGCAUCUCCUUUGGAACCAGACAAAGAAGUCCUUCAGCCUUUUAGAAUGUGUGACAAGCAGAAGGUUUAGCCCCAAAAGAGAAUAUGCAGAAUCAGGGACGCAACUGAAAAAGUGUGAAAAUCAACAGUGAUUACUUGCCAUUUCUUGAAAACACCUCACAAGAUUGCCUAUUGACAUAUAUUCAAGAAUAUUUUCAGGCAUUUGAGGUGUUUUUUGAGGAGGAGUCGUCAAGUGCUAAGGCACAUCAUAUCCUUUUCAAGAAUACGAGAAUAUGCAUAUUUUCAGAGAAUGACAAGAAGAAGGAUUAGGCCCAAUGAGAAGUAAGAUUUGUGCUUGACAUUUAGGGGUUCUUUAGCAUCAUCCCAAUUCCCACGUAAUACAGCUGUUUGUAAUGUCUCAGUCGUAUGAAAGUGACCAGUGACCACAUUGCAAUACUCUGAAGCAGCCAAUGUUUUUCCCAGGAAGAAAAGAAAAUUACAGUAGCUAUUGAAUCAUGUGCAUUAAUGUACAAGAUUUACAGUCAGUGAAACCGAUCGGUAGUAAUGGUUGUUAUAAUAAAAGAUAAGAAAUGAUGGUCCUU